rnacentral:rRNA from 1 species
UACAGAGGUCUCAAGCGUUGUUCGGAUUCAUUGGGCGUAAAGGGUGCGUAGGUGGCGCCAUAAGUCAGGUGUGAAAUCUCGGGGCUCAACCCCGAAACUGCAUUUGAUACUGUGGUGCUCGAGUACUGGAGAGGAGAUUGGAAUUUACGGUGUAGCAGUGAAAUGCGUAGAUAUCGGAAGGAAGACCAGUGGCGAAGGCGAAUCUCUGGACAGUUACUGACACUGAGGCACGAAGGCCAGAGGAGCAAACGGG